GGUGGCACCUCAGGCCCGGCGGGAUGGGAUGGGGGGGAAGCUGAGAACAAUGGGAGAGGAUAAAACUCUCCCCCAAGUCGCUGCUGUGCUGGAUUUUUGCGAGGAGAAAUUGAUGCCUUAGGAUUUUAGCUUUUGUAUUUGUCAUAUGUUUAUAAUCCUGCAAUUCUUUGGCGUAUAGCUCUGUGUAGAGUCUUAGCUACUGUCGUCACAUUUUGGUCAGACAAAAAUAUUCCUCUCUAGGCCUGGGAAUCAAGGACACCUCACUGCCUCAGGCCCCAAGAAAUUGUAAUGGCAUCUUUACUACUGACAAAAGACACAAAACAGCAAAAGGAAAUCUGGCAUCAACAGAGGAAACAAUACUGGAAGCACAGCCUCCCUGAGUUACAGUGCACAGGAGAUGGUUCAGCUACAAGAGGAAUGGCCUACAUCUGACAGCAAGCUUG